AAAAAUAGAUCUAGGAUCCUGGACUCGCUUCUCCUUCCUCACACCGCUAGGUCUGCAACGCGUGACGGGAAGAGAGCCGCCGCCUCAGGUCUCCUUCACGGUGGAGCAGCUCGUAUCACCAUUACAACCCCGAUACCCUUACCGAACUCGAAAACUAUGUUAACGAGCAGGUAAUUCGACACCGAGAGCUACAUUGCCUGCGAUCGCCAUGUGUUUUAACAGAAGAAGUCAGCCUGUGAAUGCUUCUACCACCAUGACUUGUUUGGAGCUUUGUCCUGGUUCCUAACAUCUACAUCGGAAGGUUUUGGGAGGAGAGCAGGCGCUUAUGGCUAUGUCAACCCCAGAUUUCAGCCUCUGUCUCUUCCUUAUCCCUGAUUGAGAGGCUGCAAGGUUUCGUCAAUUUUGGAAUGAAGCAGCAAAGAACCAUAGGUAAAAAGAGAAUAAUUCAAAUUAUUGUUUCUUUAUAUUUAGCCGUCUGAAAGAACCUCAAUCUCUUGCCACUUAACAGUUUUUCCUUAUUGUAUCAUGAAAAUAAUUAUUCCUUACAAAACAAGGUUGGUCAGUCCAAUCCGUCUAACCAGGUCAAUCGAGCCAAUCAAGCCGAACAAGUAGGCGGUCCAGGCAAGCCAGUCAAGUUGAUUAGCCUGAUCAAGUCAGUUAGUUUCAGUUGAGCAAAUACUACCGAGUAAGCUAAUUGAUACGGCGAUAAGGAGGAGCCCAUCUUGCACGGGUCAAUUGCCACGGUGUAGGUCAAAGUCAAGGCGGUCAAUACUAGGGCGUAAGCAAGGCUCGUACGCAAAACCCGAGCGAGAAGUGGCUACAUCGGCCGAUUGAACGAAGCACUGUCCGGUCGGCUGUUUGGAUGAACCAGUGUCUGAUCAUCCCGGUCGGCAGGAGAGUGGGCCGAUCGGACCACCCGUCCGGCUCAGGGUAUGACAUUGGAAUCGUACAUAUUAGUAAUAAACCGAUAAAAUAAUAAAAAAAAAGGAAAAGACUGAGAUAUUUAAUAAGGGGAAGAGAAAAUAAAAGAGAACACUUCAUCUAUCAUUG